AAAAAUGAGGAAGAUUGUCCUGUCGGAGUGGUCUCCAAUGCUUGCGGAUGUUGCAAAGUUUGCGCAAAGGUCAUCAGCGUAUACAAACAUCUAAAGUGGAAAGGAAAUUGAUAAUUUAUCAUCAUAGACAAAGGAAAUGUUUAAGAGAAAUUAGAAAAAUAGUUAAUAGAAGUCACACGAAAGUAUAUAGUGUUAUCAAAAGAUAUAAAAAAGGACAAGGUAUUGAAAACAAAGAAAAAGUGCGUAUGAAUUUGACUAACUGAAGUAGACUCGUUCUUUUGGGGCCUCAUAAUGAUAUUGCUCCUAGGACCUCUAAAAGUAUAAAUGUAUAUAAAAUACAUAUUUUGCAAAUUGUAUGUAAUAAAGAGUACAGAUGUACAGCUAUACAAAAUGUGCACAUCAGAUGCACAAUUGUUCAAAAUAUAUGCAAAAUAUGUAUAAUAGAUAUACAGGUAUACACUUAGGCCUAUACAAAAUUUACACAAUAAGUGUACAGUUGUACAAAAUAUGCUCAAUAGUGUACAAUUAUUCAAAAUGCAAAAUAUGACAAUCGAAUUUAUUGAACACAUUUUUUUGAUGUGUCCAAUAAAUGUACAGUUGUACCAAAUGUAUACGAAAUGCAUAUAAUUUAACAAAAUAUGUGUAUGUCGGACCA
rnacentral:lncRNA from 1 species